rnacentral:sRNA from 2 species
UGCCAUUUUGCCAUUGAGGCGAUUCUAAUCCUAAUUCUUAACUCAUGCCUCAUGGUCUGGGUUUGCUUGGGAUGAUGUGAUUUCAGACUUUCUUGGCAAAAAUUCGGUCCCCGAACGUCCACCUUGGAGGGGGCGAAUUUUCAUUCAUAGCUCCUCAGGCCCGUUUAAAGGUGCCUUUAGAUGUUUUUUAAAGUUAUGUGCACUUGGAGGGGAGAGAGGGGGGAAGCUCCCAUCUGGAUGAAGCGGCGUUCACUCAUUACAACAGCUUCAAGCUCUAGCCAGCAAGGUAGCUAGCUGUCUGUUUGUCAGAAUUGCCAUAAAAAAAACAUGUCAUCUUAAAAAAUUAGCCUGGUCAGCUUUCUGAGCACUUUACCCAAUGGCCUGAAGCCUGAAAGAGCCAAGUCGAUGGGUACUAGUCAGCUAGAGCUGCUAUGCUCAUUCACUAUUAUGCUGUUGUGCUAAUG